GGGAUUGUAGCUCAGUGGUGGAGCGCUUGCCUCACACAUAUGAUGCCCUGGGUUCAAUCCUCAGCACCA
rnacentral:tRNA from 1 species